rnacentral:lncRNA from 1 species
AUCACCGCUAUCAAACUUUGCAAGGAUAUUAUGGAAAACAAGAAACUUCCUAUGUAUGUUGCUUGAAUAAUAAUGUUCUAUUUUCUUCCUAAGGCAUUCAUUUAUGCUAAAAUUUAGUAAUGGCUGUUCUCUGGAUCAUUAGAGAUGUUCCUGUGAAAAGGGCUCAUGAUCAUAGAGAAAUACUGCACAUUCCAUCCCAACUUAGAGAGACUGAUUAAAACCUCUGAGAAACCCCACAAUAACUUUAACUUGGUGUUUCCCAAACUUAUUGGAGUGUAGAACUCUGUUUUCAAGUAUUAGCUUGAGUUAAAAGAACAUACUUGGGGAAUAUUUUUAUACAUACUUUUCUUAAAACAAAAGCAUCCACAACAAACCCAAUAACGCCUGCUAGGAGCAGUGUGUCAAUAUAAUUUCAGAGCGGAGAGCUCAAUCGAUCAAGCUUUGUCAGAAUGAUGGAGAGACUGAGUCACUAAGAACUGAAGUGGUCACGGUGGCCAAGCUUGCACAGCUGGUAGGUGGCAGCUCUGAGAUUCGGACUCAAGCGAUCUGCUCCAGAGUCAAUGAAUCAUCUGACGAUAAAUGAAAAUGUGUUUCUCGAUGUGGUCCUGCAGAGAGAUUCAUAUCGCCGAGUAGUAAGUUGCUGCUGGUGUUUUCGUUAAUGGGAACUGUAAAAUGAGAAGAUUACGGGUAUUCAUGGUAUGAACAAACAGUGAGACCUACCAUUCUGAAUCAAGCUCAAU